UACAGAGGUCUCAAGCGUUGUUCGGAUUCAUUGGGCGUAAAGGGUGCGUAGGUGGCUUGGUAAGUCGGAUGUGAAAAUCCCGGGGGCUCAACCCCCGGAACUGCAUUCGAUACUGCCGGGCUUGAGUACUGGAGAGGAGAUUGGAAUUUACGGUGUAGCAGUGAAAUGCGUAGAUAUCGUAAGGAAGACCAGUGGCGAAGGCGGAUCUCUGGACCAGCACUGACACUGAGGCACGGAAAGCGUGGGGAGCAAACAGG
rnacentral:rRNA from 1 species